rnacentral:rRNA from 1 species
GACAGAGGAUGCAAGCGUUAUCCGGAAUGAUUGGGCGUAAAGCGUCUGUAGGUGGCUUUUUAAGUCCGCCGUCAAAUCCCAGGGCUCAACCCUGGACAGGCGGUGGAAACUACCAAGCUGGAGUACGGUAGGGGCAGAGGGAAUUUCCGGUGGAGCGGUGAAAUGCGUAGAUAUCGGAAGGAACACCUGUGGCGAAAGCGGCUCACUGGACCUUACUGACGCUGAUGCACGAAAGCUAGGGGAGCAAACAGG